CAGCAGCCGCGGGAAUACGUAGGUGGCAAGCGUUAUCCGGAAUUAUUGGGCGUAAAGCGCGCGUAGGCGGUUUUUUAAGUCUGAUGUGAAAGCCCACGGCUCAACCGUGGAGGGUCAUUGGAAACUGGAAAACUUGAGUGCAGAAGAGGAAAGUGGAAUUCCAUGUGUAGCGGUGAAAUGCGCAGAGAUAUGGAGGAACACCAGUGGCGAAGGCGACUUUCUGGUCUGUAACUGACGCUGAUGUGCGAAAGCGUGGGGAUCAAACAGGAUUAGAGACCCCAGUAGUCCCUGUCUCUUAUAA
rnacentral:rRNA from 1 species